UUACUUUUUAUAUUUUAUUACGCAUAAGCUUUGUUUAGGUUUUUGGUAAAACAGAUUUUUUUUGCAUUAAAAGAGUGGUGCCUAUAUAGUUAAGACCGAAUUACAUGUCUAUUUAUUCAUUCCAUUGGCAUGUAAAAUAUAUAACAGAUAAUAUCAAUGGGUUGGGGAGAAGACAGUUUUAAAGGAGGACGGUUCGGUAACGGCGGUUGGGAGAGAAGCCACAGUAACGAGGAUCCUAUUGGGCAACAUUUAAAUACAUGUGUUGCCUGUAAUACUGGGUUCGGACAUGCAGGAUUGUUCGAGAAGAACUAUGAUGACAAUUGUCCAGGUUGCCGUUACGACAGGAGUUACAGGCGCCAAGACAGCACAAGUUCGACUACUUCCGAUGUCGUGGUCAUUGGAUCUCUUUUUAGUAAGUCGGACAAACCAUCAGGCAAAACCGCGAAAUCAUUCUUUUCGUCAACAAGGCCAACCAAACUGGCACAGAAAAGUCUUUGGGAUUAAAAUAAACAAUAACUGAGAAAAAGGAUUGUUGUUCUUAAUACAGCAUAUACAAUAAUAUAUUCAUAGUCCAACUUGGACAACGUUUGGUCUUCAAGUGAUAGACAAUCUAAUACAGUGAACAUUUUUAAUAUUUAAAAAAUACUAUUGAUACAUCCUAGAUAUAUUAGCUUUUGGUAGAGAAUUGUUUUAAGGUUCAUACAAAAUUUCUAUUAGAACUAACUGGAAGAAAGGUCAAUGAAAUAUUUAUGUGCAUCUCUUACUACGUACAUAGUUCCGAGUUAAGACUAUUUGAACAAAAAUACACCGUACUAUAACAUAUAUAAUUGUAAUUUUCUGUACAAAAUAAAUACUAAAAUUUGUACAUAGUUGUUUCAUUUGUCAUUAUAUGACAGUGAAACAAAUUUUAGUUAAUAGGGUAGUCUUAAAAGUCUUGUAAAAAGUAUACUCAGAAGGGUUUUGAACAUUAUUUUAUUUAACACACAUGUGCUUUGUGUUUUAUCUUGUCUACCGCACAAUUGUUGCUUUAUCAUGCACAUGUAUUAUGCACAUGUAACAAGUACAUAUUUCAGCAGUACCAGGAAUAGCUCGCCCUACUUUAAAGAUCUGUUUGAAUCACCGAUACGGUUUCUUGGGGGUAAUUUUAUAUUUGUCUUUAUGUUAAAAACAAAUCGUGAAAAAUUGCUGUAUGGAUUUUCUUUGGAAAUAACUGUUUUGUUUUCUUUGAAAAUUCUGAAUUUAAUCGGCAUAAAAUGUGAUAGCGACAUUCUAUCUGAUCUAUUGUUAUAAGAUAAUAUACGAACUCAAUGACGGCUUCCAUGGCUGAAUGGAUAAGCUUUCGACUUCUUGAUCUACUUGUCCCCUGACGCGUUCAUAUGCUUAAAAUAUUCAACUAGUUUGCACCUGGUAUAUAGUUUUACUCCGAUUCCAGGCACGCGCCCAAAAUUAUGUUCGGAGGUGAUUUUGUAUUCUUCUCGCACCCUUAAAUUUAUGAUACAAUACUAGGGACUUUUAAAUGUUUUUACAUGUAUCAUGAAAAAAUAUUUACAUAAUGUUUUGCAAAUAUCCGCUUUCAGGUAUGGUUUUUGAGACUUUAUCAAGAGUGUUAUAUUUUUAUUGUAUAUUAAAAACUUACUUCGCAUUCAUUCUUUAAUGACAAUAUACUUCCGACAGAUUUCUCAAAAUUUAGAUGCCAAUUGUCAUAACGAGUUGACUCUUCCAAUGAAACACUCAAACAAUAUUUUUGUUUUAUGUACAAUCAUUACUAGUACUUCUACCAUGUGGUGAUUAUGAUACUGUCGAGCAUUAUCAACAGCUAGCUAUGGAAGAAAGGCAUGCGUCUGUCAUAAGACAAGGUUGCCUUAUAUACUCAUCAGUUAGAUACGUUAAGGAAAAUAAAUUCGUUACUAUUAUUAAGUUAAGAGGGUGUGUUCACGGUUGAAAUUAGGUAAUCUGGCUUGGUGGUUAUAAUCAGUGAACAGCAAGUCUCCCGUGCUUCCUCAGUGCCAAUGGUCAAUUUGGGAAGCGUAGCCUUCCCAAAGUCGCCAAACUCCCUAUACCGACAUUGGUGAAAUUGUAGUUACAAAUGCCGUUACUACCUUUCUCCAUACAUACGCUAUAAAAGUAGUUCAGUACUUCUAUGAAAUUCAAGGGUGUCAGAGUAAACAGAUCGAUACCGUUUAUUUAGCAUAUGCAAUAAAUGUGAACACUUAUGAUUUGUAAAUGAAAAAUAUGGCGGGGAUUAGAAGUUCUUGUAAAGAACUUUGUCUACGCGUUGUACUACUUUACGACGUAAAUAUUUAUUACGUGACCAAGAGCAAGAACACAUGGUUCCGGUUCAGCGCUACCUUUCUCCAUACACGCGCCGUAAAAGUAGUUCAAUACUUACAAGGAAUUGAAAGAUAUGAAUGUAAACAGAUCAAUGCAAGUUAUUAUGGAUAUGCAAUAAAUGUGAACGCUAAUUAAUUGAUAAAUAAAAAAAGUGGUUUUGAUCGGAUUCACUUGUAAAUAUUUGUCAGGCGAAUGACACACGGAAAAGUAUAUUUAAUCCGCUACAAAUAUAAUUCGAAAAUGAUACAGAUUUUUUAUGAAGUAUUUGCAAAAAAUAGUCUCUCAUAAUUAAAAAUGCCACUAGGGCCCUUUUCUUUAUAUAUUACUGAUAUGAUGCUAGUCUUGCCAACCCUCUUGUGGUAUUUUGUUGAUAUGCUGCUUGUCUGGCCGAUUUAUUUUCAAGUGCGCACACAAUGCUAUUAAGUGAAUCAGUUGGAUUUCUUGACAUGUACAAAAUAUUUGGCCUUCAACAUACUGAAUUUUUAAUCUCACUUUGUUUUUUCUAAGAUUUUUAAAAAUUUGUUACACAGUUUUGUAAGAUUUUUAAAAAUUUGUUACACAGGUAUAAAAGAUUUUUAAGAAAUUGUUACGCAGUUUAGAAAAUAAAUAUGUUUAACAUUUUCUCUGUUUGUUCCAUUGAUUGUAUGCAUUAACAUCUCACUUUGGAAGAUCCUGCCAUGAUUGUCUGUCAACCCUGCUUUCAGUCAAGUCCGUUUGAUCUUCUUAGAACGUUGCCAAAGACACAGACAACCCCUAUUGAUUUUGGUGCCGGGGUCAUAGCGACCUUUAAGCCAUCGUCUGCUUUUAUUGAUGAUGAGGCUUCAUACAUACAAACAUUGGUUCCCUAUUAGAUCUAAAGUCAAGUCAAAGAUUAUGAUUUGAGUAAUCUUUACUGACUUUGGUCUGAAUGUGAGUUUUUUUUCGGGGGGAGGGGGGGGGGGGGGGGUCAAUGAGUUCAAAAACGCUGGAAACUUUUAGUGAAAUAUUGCAAAAUGAUGGAAUAUUUGCUUGCCUGGUUUCUCCAUUAAAUGCAUACCGGUUCAGCUACGCUUCCCUACAGUCCUCUUAGGGCUUUGAUUUAUACUGCGACUAGGUACACUGUUUCCUUCUUUGCGUUUCCACCGAAUUAUAAGUGUUUAUAUCUAAACUACCAUUUUGUUUUUGUAGAAGUGUUGAAGAAGCAUCCUACCAAAGGCAAAAAUGUACACUUUUGCCUUGUACAAACGAAAUGCGUAGAUUCUACAUGACUCACUUAAUAAACGUAUAAUCACGGGAAAAAACUUUAGUACUAAGUCACUGGAAGCUGUUCAUGAAAGCAUGUUAAUACGCUAUAUCCGAACAAAUGAUCAGUAUUACUCUGACUUCCGCUUCAAAAGCAUUCAACUGUUUUAAUAAAUUUUGAAAAUACCUGGAAAACCCUAUCAACGAAUACGAUUCUGAAGGAAUUGGCAAAACGAGAAUUUUUUAUCGCUUUAGUACUAUCGACCAUUCAUUCGCUGAGGGAUUUACCCAGCACCUACUAGUAAACACAGCAUUUUUUGUUUUCUUUUGACAUCCUCCGCCAUUUAAAUAAUAACCUUCGAAUGCUCGGCGAGUAUCACGCAAGGCGAACGUACUGAAGUGACGUCAGGAUGACAACUAUACAAAGAAUAUUCAAAAUAACAUUGAAAAUAUCACAAUAACACUCGUCACAUUUAAAACAUAAAAUAAUAGCCCUAAAAUUUUGCAUUCAUAAUCUAAUGGUUUUACGCGUAAAAUGAAAAGACUAAAAAGCUAAGUCACAUGUUUUAAGGUUACGCUGACACAUAUUGAUUAGUUAUUACAUAUUUCAGUAUCUAUUUCACUCAAGGAACAAGAAGAUUAUACAAAUAAGAAAGAAAUUCUGUGAACUUGAUAUAGGCACAGCUGCUCGGGGUGACCCCUUGCAAUGUAACUGGGAAAUAUAAUCUCCACUAAGUCGCUACUGUGCAAAAUAAUAUCAUGCACUGAAUGUAAACAACGAGCUGGAAUCAAAAUAGGUCAAGGAUAAUGGUUUUCCGUGAAAUUAUCUAUGUUGUUGUGACAGCAUGUACUUUCAUAUUCAAUGAGCUGUUGCUGAAAAUAGAUUUUUUGCGCACAUUGAAUAUCUAACUGGGGCAUUUGAAAUAGCACAUAACUACAAACUUCCACUCUUUCAUUUCACAAAGAGGAUUAACACAUGAAUCUUAAACAAUAUUUGAUCUUAAAAUGGCUUAAAAUGAUAUAUUCUACUUACAAAAAAGAAAAGAAAACAAAACAAAUACAACAAAACGCUAUGUUAUAUACAGUCAUUAUCGGUAUACCUAGCAAUAACAAUUUAACAAGGAUUUCGCUACCUGAAUCAAUUCAGUCCAUAGGUAAUCGCACUAGGUUUAAGAAAGAAGAAACAUUUCUUAAAUGCUUAUGAUAGUUGAUUGAUUGUUUGUCAUCUGGUUUGUGUGAUAAUGUAUAUGUGAUAUGUUGAUGCAAUUCAAAUCCAUCUGUGAUAUUUUUGUUGACCAAAUCUAUAUUAUGGUAAGACAUUAGUGAAAAGCAGGAAACGCAACAAGGAUAAUGCCGUGGGGAAAUGGGUUUGGUUCUUCUAGAGCGCAUGCGAAUGGAACGCAUACGUCAUCCUGUUACGUAGGCAAGUCUGGGUUUGGAAGCACAAUCAAAUACAGCAAGAACUGUCCCGGAUGUGAGCGGCAGAAAGCCAUGAUGUCACCUGGACAAUACAAUAAACCAUAUACAGUGCUGAAGAUCGUGAAAAUAUUCAAAUAGUUAGAAUUGAACAUAAACCCUGUGUAAUGAAAAUGGCAUACGGAUGAAUGUAAUCCUAUCUCAAUAUUUAUAUACAGUACUUAUAAAAAAAACGGUAAAAUGGUUUUAUCAUUGACGUGCAUUCAUUGAUGUUGGAAUAUAACAUAAUGGGAUGAACACGGAUUAUUGUGUUUCAGCUAUAUAUAUGCCAAUUUGUUACUGUCUGUCUAUAAUGCAAUAAUAAUUCAUGCGCUUUAAUGCAGUCUAUAUUCGAAUCAUGUAUUAAACUGGAAUGCAUCUGUUGACAAACAUUAAAAGCAAAAUAAAUCAUACUAAUGUCAACAUUA
rnacentral:misc_RNA from 1 species